rnacentral:rRNA from 1 species
GGCUAACUACGUGCCAGCAGCCGCGGUAAUACGUAGGGCGCAAGCGUUAUCCGGAAUUAUUGGGCGUAAAGAGCUCGUAGGCGGUUUGUCGCGUCUGCCGUGAAAGUCCGGGGCUUAACUCCGGAUCUGCGGUGGGUACGGGCAGACUUGAGUGAUGUAGGGGAGACUGGAAUUCCUGGUGUAGCGGUGAAAUGCGCAGAUAUCAGGAGGAACACCGAUGGCGAAGGCAGGUCUCUGGGCAUUAACUGACGCUGAGGAGCGAAAGCAUGGGGAGCGAACAGGAUUAGAUACCCUGGUAGUCCAUGCCGUAAACGUUGGGCACUAGGUGUGGGGGACAUUCCACGUUUUCCGCGCCGUAGCUAACGCAUUAAGUGCCCCGCCUGGGGAGUACGGCCGCAAGGCUAAAACUCAAAGGAAUUGACGGGGGCCCGCACAAGCGGCGGAGCAUGCGGAUUAAUUCGAUGCAACGCGAAGAACCUUACCAAGGCUUGACAUGAACCGGAACGGCGCAGAGAUGUGUCGGCCACUUGUGGCCGGUUUACAGGUGGUGCAUGGUUGUCGUCAGCUCGUGUCGUGAGAUGUUGGGUUAAGUCCCGCAACGAGCGCAACCCUCGUUCCAUGUUGCCAGCGGGUUAUGCCGGGGACUCAUGGGAGACUGCCGGGGUCAACUCGGAGGAAGGUGGGGACGACGUCAAAUCAUCAUGCCCCUUAUGUCUUGGGCUUCACGCAUGCUACAAUGGCCGGUACAAAGGGUUGCGAUGCUGUGAGGUGGAGCUAAUCCCAAAAAGCCGGUCUCAGUUCGGAUUGAGGUCUGCAACUCGACCUCAUGAAGUCGGAGUCGCUAGUAAUCGCAGAUCAGCAACGCUGCGGUGAAUACGUUCCCGGGCCUUGUACACACCGCCCGUCAAGUCACGAAAGUUGGUAACACCCGAAGCCGGUGGCCUAACCCUUUUGGGGGGGAGCCGUCGAUAGGUGAACCCGUUGU